GCAAGUCGAACGCAGUAGCAAUACUGAGUGGCAGACGGGUGAGUAUAAUGUGGGAAUCUGCCUUUUGGUUUGGAAUAACACGAGGAAACUUGUGCUAAUACCGGAUAAGCCUUAACAGGGAAAGUUUUAACGCCAAAAGAUGAGCCCGCACUUGAUUAGCUAGUUGGUAAGGUAAUGGCUUACCAAGGCAACGAUCAAUAGCUGUUCUUAGAGGAAGACC
rnacentral:rRNA from 1 species